rnacentral:lncRNA from 1 species
UUUCCACGAUGCUGCACCUUGACCGCCGCAGAAGGCUGCUCCUCUUGAAAAAGAAGGUUCUAUUAAUUCAAAAGAUACAACGAGAACAAAAGCGCCAGUGGUGGGUGAGGCCGUCUUGGAUGAAGCGCCACGCUGAAAGCGAGUAUUUUACGACGAUGCAGAGAAUGCGACAAGGGGAUGUAGAAUAUUUCAUAAGUAUUACCGCAUGAUGCCGCAGCAGUUCGACUUUCUCUUAAGUCUCUUGAAGCAAGACCUUGAGAGAAAGCACGUCGUGAGAGAGCCCAUAAGCCCUGCUGAGCGAUUGGCCAUGACACUGAGGUACCUGUCGUCUGGAGACCUGAUG